UACAGAGGGGGCAAGCGUUAUUCGGAAUUAUUGGGCGUAAAGGGCGCGUAGGCGGCUUUGCAAGUGACGGGUGAAAUCCCUCGGCUUAACCGAGGAACUGCCUGUCAGACUGCAUGGCUUGAGUCCAGGAGAGGUGAGUGGAAUUCCCAGUGUAGCGGUGAAAUGCGUAGAUAUUGGGAGGAACACCAGUGGCGAAGGCGGCUCACUGGACUGGUACUGACGCUGAGGCACGAAAGCGUGGGGAGCAAACAGG
rnacentral:rRNA from 1 species